ensembl:lncRNA
ACCGCACCAUCACACUUACUCUCUUCCUCUGGUUACUCCUGACAACCGCACCAUCACACUUACCCUCUUCCUCUGGUUACUCCUGACAACCGCACCAUCACACUUACCCUCUUCCUCUGGUUACUCCUGACAACCGCACCAUCACACUUACCCUCUUCCUCUGGUUACUCCUGACAACCGCACCAUCACACUUACCCUCUUCCUCUGGUUGCUCCUGACAACCGCACCAUCACACUUACCCUCUUCUUCCUCACGUCUCGUCCCUCCACAGACACCUCCAGUUGGCCUGCUGCUUUUGGGGGUCUGGGACACCUCAGCUCCUCAGCUUUUGGGCGUCUGGGACACCUCAGCUCCUCAGCUUUUGGGCGUCUGGGACACCUCAGCUCCUCAGCUUUUGGGCGUCUGGGACACCCAGUGCCCGCGCAAAGGAAACGCUCAGACAAGCGCAGCUCAGCUCGAAGACACCGUAGGAACGAGCAGCACCGCAGAAGCACGGCCAGAGGGAGGGACACGUCUGGGAACACGGAGACGGACAGAGACAAGGACACACACCGAGACGGGGACACGUCUGGGAACAUGGCGACGGACAGAGACAAAGACACACACCGAGACGGGGACACGUCUAGAGGAAAGGACUUGCAUAGAGACAGGAACAGAGAUACACUCAAAGACAACGCACACACCAACAGCAGCCCAGACCAGUUAGAGGUCAGUGGGGACAGCAGCCCAGACCAGUUAGAGGUCAAUGAGGACAGCAGCCCAGACCAGUUAGAGGUCAAUGAGGACAGCAGCCCAGACCAGUUAGAGGUCAAAAGUGAGGACCAGUUAGAGGUCAAUGAGGACCAGUUAGAGGUCAGUGAGGUCAGUGGGGACAGCAGCCCAGACCAGUUAGAGGUGCGAGGUGAGUGGGUGAAGGAGGAGGUAAAGAGACCCAGGCUGGAGCCGGGGCGAGGGGAGUGGG